rnacentral:rRNA from 1 species
CCUACGGGGGGCAGCAGUGGGGAAUAUUGCACAAUGGGGGAAACCCUGAUGCAGCGACGCCGCGUGAGUGAAGAAGUAAUUCGUUAUGUAAAGCUCUAUCAGCAGGGAAGAAAAUGACGGUACCUGAGUAAGAAGCUCCGGCUAACUACGUGCCAGCAGCCGCGGUAAUACGUAGGGGGCAAGCGUUAUCCGGAUUUACUGGGUGUAAAGGGAGCGUAGACGGCUGUGAGGUAAGUCAGCAGGGAAAUGCCCCCGCUCAACGGGGUGAAUUGUCAUUGAUACUGCCUUGCUGGAAUGCGGAUGCGGUGGGAGGAAUGUGUGGUGUAGCGGUGAAAUGCAUAGAUAUCACGCAGAACACCGAUUGCGAAGGCAUCUCGCGAAUCCGCGAUUGACGCUGAUGCACGAAAGCGUGGGUAUCAAACAGGAUUAGAUACCCUUGUAGUC